AGGACUGCCUAGAAGCUUUGUCUCAUGAAGACAGUAACAGAGGGAAAAGAUGGACUGACUGAGUCCCCAGCGUGGAUACAGACCUACAGCAUGCUGGUGUGGAAAGGGACGAUGACUCCCUCAACAGCUUCUUCCAGUGCAUGAGGACUCUUUCUGAGAAGAAAUUUCUCCUACCAACCAACCUGAACCUCCCCUGGUGCAACUUGAGGCCAUUCCCUCUACCCCUAUCGCUGUUACCUGGGAAAAGAGGCUGACCCCCGCUUCGUCACAACCUCCUUUCAGGCAGGCAGGUGUAUAAUUCAUCGCAGACCUACCCUGCUACAUACAGAUGUUGCAGCACUCCAACAUGACAGACUGAGCAGUGGUGGAAAGAGCUCCCGGAGAGACCUUCCCAUCUGGACAGCCAUUUCUGCAGGGUGGCACAGCUCUCCCAGGGUUAGAUUUGGCAUUGGAAAGCCUCCCAUCGCCUCCUGAAGACCAGACUGGCAAUAACUGAACUGUACAAAUGCAGAACUCAGGAAAACCAGAAGAGGUCAGCUGGUGCUGAGUGAAUCAGCAGCCACUCACAUUUUUUCUUGUAUUUAUUUUUUAUCAGAGAGAAGGGGUUUUUGAUCCUGAGGCUGUCUAUAGUACUGCUGAUAUUUGCUUCACUACCUUCUUGUGAUUGUAAAGCUUCCUAUGGGGGCAAAGCAUUCAGCAAAUCCUCUUUUUCAAAACAGAGAUCAGAUAUAUCAGCAGGCACAAAAUGAAUUGUGAAUUGAGUUUAGAUCUCCUCCUCUGCAGGGGACUUCUGGUCUGCUAAACUUUCACACUUGAU
rnacentral:lncRNA from 1 species